rnacentral:rRNA from 1 species
UACGUAGGGGGCAAGCGUUGUCCGGAAUUAUUGGGCGUAAAGAGCUUGUAGGCGGUUUGUCGCGUCUGCUGUGAAAUCCCGGGGCUCAACCCCGGGCUUGCAGUGGAUACGGGCAGACUAGAGUUCGGUAGGGGAGACUGGAAUUCCUGGUGUAGCGGUGAAAUGCGCAGAUAUCAGGAGGAACACCGGUGGCGAAGGCGGGUCUCUGGGCCGAUACUGACGCUGAGGAGCGAAAGCGUGGGGAGCGAACAGG